AAGGGAACUUCUUCUCGCUGAAUAAGGAAAUGCCGUUUCAGCGCACUCAAGUUCUCAUGC
rnacentral:pre_miRNA from 1 species